GAUGAACGCUGGCGGCGUGCCUAAUACAUGCAAGUCGAGCGAACAGACGAGGAGCUUGCUCCUCUGACGUGAGGGGCGGGCGGGUGAGUAACACGUGGAUAACCCACCUAUAAGACGGAUAUAACUUGGAAAAUCGGGCUAAAAUCCGAUAGGAGAUAUUGAUCCACGGGGUGGAAUGGUAAGAUUCGGUUGUGCGGGCACUACUAGAGGCUUCCCCGCCGCAUUGUGUGGUUGUGAAGUUAACGGCUUACGAAGGCAACGAUGCGUAGCCGACGUAAGGGGGUGAUAGCCCCCAUUGGAACUGGGACACGGUCAAGACUCCUACGGGAGGACGCAGUAGGGAAUCUUCGGCAAUGGGGGAAAGCUUGACGGAGCAAGGCGGCGUGAGUGAUGAAGGUCUUGGGUUCGUAAAACUCUGUUUUUAGGGAAGAACAAAUUUGUAAGUAAAUAUGCACGUCUUGACGGUAACUAAUCAGAAAGCCACGGCUAACUACGUG
rnacentral:rRNA from 1 species